rnacentral:rRNA from 1 species
AGUGAACGCUGGCGGUAGGCCUAACACAUGCAAGUCGAACGGCAGCACAGUAAGAGCUUGCUCUUACGGGUGGCGAGUGGCGGAUGGGUGAGGAAUACAUCGGAAUCUACUUUUUCGUGGGGGAUAACGUAGGGAAACUUACGCUAAUACAGCAUACGACCUACGGGUGAAAGCAGGGGAUCUUCGGAACUUGCGCGAUUGAAUGAGCCGAUGUCGGAUUAGCUAGUUGGCGGGGUAAAGGCCCACCAAGGCGACGAUCCGUAGCUGGUCUGAGAGGAUGAUCAGCCACACUGGAACUGAGACACGGUCCAGACUCCUACGGGAGGCAGCAGUGGGGAAUAUUGGACAAUGGGCGCAAGCCUGAUCCAGCCAUACCGCGUGGGUGAAGAAGGCCUUCGGGUUGUAAAGCCCUUUUGUUGGGAAAGAAAAGCAGCAGGUUAAUACCCCGCUGUUCUGACGGUACCCAAAGAAUAAGCACCGGCUAACUUCGUG